CAGAUACAGAUGGCAAAUGGCAGUGCAGAUGCAGAUGGCAAAUCGCAGAUAGGCAAUGCAUCUUAGGUUUUUUUUAUUCCGAUCUAGCUACGUCACUGGUCAUUCGUCUGAAGUCCGCCACCUUCAUUGUCAAAGCAGCAUGGGUCACCACGAAUCAUCUUCCGUUGCCUGGUGUUGAAACAAGUAAUAACAUGGAGGUGGAGUGUCGAUUUGGGACUUAAUUUUUCAUCUGUUGAACGAGGUGCCGGGACCAACAAUUUUAUUCCCGCACAUCGUUGGAUUUCUGGGAUGGUAGCUGUUGUUGCAGGACACUUUCCUUAGAUUAUUGGUGAGGUUCCAGAAAGCAGUGUUCCACAAGCAAGAAUAUAAUUUAUGGGCCAUCAACACAAUAUAGAUUGUUUAACUCUGUUUUCUUGCCUUGAUGGUGAAAUUGAAUUAUAUUGGAAUAUAAAAGUUUUUGAAGCUA